UUUAUAUUAUAUUUCCCACCCCUAAUUGUUCAGUCAAUGACUGACUGACCUCUAUUCAACAGUGAUUAAUCCAACUUGUAUUGAAACAAAUAGUAUCAAUGCAUAAUAUCAAAGGACAAACCUGAUCCCUUAUGUUAAUUUCCCUGAUUCUCUUUAUUGGUUCAACUAAUCUUCUUGGACUUCUAUCCCAUUCAUUUACACCAACUACUCAACUAUCAAUAAACUUAGAAAUAGCAAUUCCUUUGUGAGCUGGAGUAGUAGUCACUGCUUCCGCUUUAAGACUAAAGCUUCUGUAGCCUACUUCCUACCACAAGCACACUGAUUCCACUUAUCCCUAUAUUGGUAAUCAUUGAAACUUAGCCUAUUCAUCCAACCAAUAGCACUAGCUGUACGAUUAACAGCCAACAAUACAGCUGGCCACCUACUAAUGCAUUUAAUUGGAGGAGCUACACUAGUAUUAUCAACUAUUAGCCUACCGACAGCUUCAAUUACAUUUAUUAUUCUAGUUUUACUAACCAUCCUCAAGUUUGCCAUAGCCCUCAUUCAUACCUAUGUCUUUACACUCCUAGUGAGCCUCUACUUACACAGCAACACAUAA
rnacentral:lncRNA from 1 species